rnacentral:lncRNA from 1 species
CCAUGCAUGAACCGCUUUCUUCUUCUCCAUCCUUUGUCAGUAAUACAUCAGAUACUUUUGUGUUCUCUAACCCUUUUAAUUUGCUGCAUUGCGGACUGUGAUACCAUUGGCUUCCUUGUUUUGCGUCGUGGGGAAGGAGAUGACACAUCCAAAUCUUGCGAAUAUACUUUGUUCAUCUCACUUGUGUUCUUUUCUUGAACUAUUAAAUCCAAGUUUGUUAAUGUGAAUUUUGCUUCUAAUGCUUUGCCUCCUGCAGAGAUAUUCUUUAACAAUGAAAUAAAACAAUUUGCCUUCAUUCAUAUUGCUGGCAUUUGCAUAAUAUCGUUGAGAGUUAUUUCAUUGUCUGGUCUUGAGCAUUUCUGUGAAAUUCAAGUUACAUAAAAUGAAAAACGUUGUGCAAAAAAUGGUUUAAAGUGGAUUAUGCUAAUGCACGAAGUUAGAUGCUAACCUCAACCUAAGUUGCUCGGAUACGAGUGCGAGUGUCCGAUACAGGUGUGGAUCUAGAGGUCAGAUCCUUCGAAAUGUAAAUUCUAAGAUUCGGGACUAAGGAUCCUAGUACGGAUACGGUGCGGGAUCCGGCUAAGAAUAAUUUUAAAAAUAACAACAUAAAAAUAUCUCUAAAUUAUGAAAUUUUUUGUGGAAGAACUUGGGUAUUGCUUGUAAAGUGUGAAUUUCUUUUUUAUUCUAAGUAAUGGAGAUAAGUAAAAGAUUGAUUUCCUAAAUAAGCUGUGCUAUUUUCUUCAAAUUUACCUUAGUUUUGGUUCUGAUUUUUGAAUCAAAUUGUACCUCGUCUCGAAUUUUUCCUUACCUUAUGGUCAAAGUACCCAAAAAUGUUUGACUAGAUCUAAUACGGAUCCCAACCCUCAUCCAUACUAGUGUCGUGUCGACAUGGGCGCGGCACCUAAUUAACUGCCGUGUCGGAGCAACUUAGACCUCAACCAUAAGGCAAAGGAAUACCAGAGAAAAGUUGCCUGCGGUGAGAGGAAAAGAAGCAAAAGGUGAAGGUUCUAAAGCCAUGAAAUGUUCAAAGGUAUCAAAAGCAAACCUUUAUAUAUUGGUGGUUGAAUAUCAUCAUCGGACAAAUUGAACAGCAAAUUUCUUUUGCUUCAUAAGAUCAGACAAUUACUCAGCCAACAUCUCCACUGAAACAAUUAGACAGCUCAGAACAAAAGCUCACAGCAACUCGGCCACAGUCAGUUAGGUCACCUGAAAAAAUAAUGCAACCUUUAAAACUAUCAGAGGUGAAAUCCAAUAGAGGCAUUACCGAAGAACCAUCCCAGAUAUCAGACUCUUCAGGAAUCAAUGGCAAACCUAAGAUGGUGACAGAAUCAGAGACAAACAUCCAGGAAACUAGACAAGUGACGGAAGUUGUGCAAGAGAUGACGGAUUAAAACGGAGAAAAUAUUGGCGGUUUCCUGACAUCCAAAAAGCAGCCAGGCAUUGUUUUUCAAUCAAAGCAAGCAUAUACAGUGCAGCAAGCCAGGUCUGAUAACAAUCAGAUUCGGGUGAACCCUGUCUCAGUUUUAUCUCAGCCAAAGAACAACACAGUUAUCAGUAGUUCCAGUAAGGAAACUGAACAACAUCUCGAAGUUUAUUCAUAGAAUGGCAGUUGGAGAGGGCAAGCAAAAUUUGGAAGAGGGACCGGCGAGUGUGAUCAAACUUGCAGGUGAUAAUAGAGGAGCAUCUAUGCACAUUGGCAGAGGCUACAAACUGAAUCCAGAUGAAAGUGCUGAUGCAGAGGGAAAUUCAGAGGGAAGACGACAAAAAGAUGCAAGGACCAUGGAAGAUCAAGAAAUAGAGGCAUAUCUAAACUGCAACGUGCAGGGCAUGAACAACUCAAUUACAUUUGACAGUGUCAUUGAGGCAAAAAAUGCAGGUAUACAUAUUUUGUUCCUUCGUAUGCCUUCAGAACCUAUAAGAUCAAGUGAUGGAACAGGAUCCAAAGAUGAGAAGAAGAUGCCUCGAAGGCCUUUUCCUUGAACCAAGCGAACCCUGGUUGCCAUGUUCGCUGCAUGGCGAAGAGUAAUGAUAACGAGAUAGAGAUUCUUUGAAAACAAGACUUGUAAUACAUGUAAUUGUUACAGGUUAAAAAUCCUUGUGUACAUACUCAAUAACCUCUGCAAUUGAGAUGGCUGUGAUAUAUGAAACGUGAUAGUUAUGAAAUGUUGUUCGCUACUGUAACACGCCCUUUAAAAUUCAGACACCAACAUUGCAAAAAUCUUGGAGAUUUAUUCGUCAAAAUCAAAGGAUCUGUAUUCUUUUGAAUUGUCGAAACAACUACAAAUAGAACGAACCUUGGGUCAAAACUGCUGAUGAAUUGCAAUGAACGUGUACGUUCUCCGAAAGUUGCUGGUGUAGGAGGAGAUAGAUUGUCACGACCCAAGUUCUCCCUCCGUGAAUUAUCGUGACGGCACCUAAUCUUUAUGACUAGGUAAGCCUAACAGAUUGCAGAUAAUGAAUUAAAGAAACAAAACUAGCCAACUAACAGGUAAAUAUAAUUAAAAGAGUUUAAGAUGUCGCUCCGCAUAUACAAUAACAACACUCUCGACUGAAUAUAGCACUCCCAAAACCCGGAAUCUCAUGAAUCACAAGCUAAAGAGAAUACAUAAUGUUCUAACUCCAG